rnacentral:lncRNA from 1 species
AAGGAGGAUCAAACCAAUCAUAAAAAGAUCUUCUCUAUAAGGGAGCUAGUACUUUAGAGAGAUAGACAAGUCUUGAAUCAGAUCGGAUCUCGUGUGGGUACCUGUAGAGGCCAGACAUUUGCACGGCUCUAGGAACCUGUCAAGUUUUUGAUCAUCGAUUGCGGAACUCUUCCACCCACAAUAAUGUAUGAGAUCUGAUCUCAUAAGUUAAUUUUAGAUUUC